GCUAUUUUUGGCUUCUGGACUACUCCCAGAUCCCAGAGAAGUAAUUUGAAUCAACACAUUUGUUGAAAAGAGUCCUCACCAGAAAAUCAUUAAUGCUCUUGGAGAAGAGAGGGGAGUAAGGAAGGUGUGACAAAACUGAUGCAAGGGUCAAGGGCACAAUCCUCUUUUCUUUUUCUUUUGGAAGAUAUUGUUCAUUCCUGGGCUCUGUCCUAGAUACCAGUGGCCUCUCAUGAGCCAUCAGAGUAAUGCGAAAACUGAGAUAAGUCCAGGAGGAUCAAAUAAAUUGUAUUAAUCACCUGACCUGGUUUAACCAAGCAUGCAGCCAAGUGGCAGCCAUCACUUGUUUUCCACUAAAGAAUCCCUGAGGCCACGUAAUAGUCAGAGGAAGACAGAAAUAAUGCCCAUCAGGGGACAUCUAAGAAUCACCCACAUGAUUGUGAGGAAUUCCAAGUCGGCUCCAAAUAGUGAUCAGUCUAGAAGUCCAGUUAAAAGGAUCAGCAGAAUAGAAAAUUUCUGACAUAAACUUUUAACCCCAUAGAAACAAACUAACAAUUAAAAUAAGAUCCUAGCACUUUGGGAGGCCAAGGCGGGUGGAUCCACUGAGGUCAGGAGUUCGAGACCAGCCUGGCCAACAUGGUGAAACCCCCAUCUCUACUAAAAAUACAAAAAUUAGCCGGGCGUGGUGGUGCGUGCCUGUGCUCUCAGCUACCCGUGAGGCUGAGUCAGGAGAAUCGCUGGAACCCAGGAGGUGGAGACUGCAGUGAGCUGAGAUCGUGCCACUGCACUCCAGCCUGGGCGGCAGAGUGAGACUCCAUCUCAAAAACUUAAAAAAUAAACAGCCUUUGCUGAAAAUCAGUUAACGUGGGAAGAUGGUGAAAAUGUUAAAGAAAAUUCUCAGUAGUUUUGUCAAUGGAAUUAAAGAGACUUUUGAAUCAAUAAAACAAGAGUUGCCUAUAAAAAGAGGCUAGGAGAAAAGAUAUCUGAG
rnacentral:lncRNA from 1 species